UACGUAGGGUGCGAGCGUUGUCCGGAAUUACUGGGCGUAAAGAGCUCGUAGGUGGUUUGUCGCGUUGUUCGUGAAAUCUCACGGCUUAACUGUGAGCGUGCGGGCGAUACGGGCAGACUGGAGUACUGCAGGGGAGACUGGAAUUCCUGGUGUAGCGGUGAAAUGCGCAGAUAUCAGGAGGAACACCGGUGGCGAAGGCGGAUCUCUGGGCCAUUACUGACGCUGAGGAGCGAAAGCGUGGGGAGCGAACAGG
rnacentral:rRNA from 1 species